GACGAACGCUGGCGGCGUGCUUAACACAUGCAAGUCGAACGGAAAGGCCCUGCUUUUGUGGGGUGCUCGAGUGGCGAACGGGUGAGUAACACGUGAGUAACCUGCCCUUGACUUUGGGAUAACUUCAGGAAACUGGGGCUAAUACCGGAUAGGAGCUCCUGCUGCAUGGUGGGGGUUGGAAAGUUUCGGCGGUUGGGGAUGGACUCGCGGCUUAUCAGCUUGUUGGUGGGGUAGUGGCUUACCAAGGCUUUGACGGGUAGCCGGCCUGAGAGGGUGACCGGCCACAUUGGGACUGAGAUACGGCCCAGACUCCUACGGGAGGCAGCAGUGGGGAAUAUUGCACAAUGGGCGGAAGCCUGAUGCAGCAACGCCGCGUGCGGGAUGACGGCCUUCGGGUUGUAAACCGCUUUCGCCUGUGACGAAGCGUGAGUGACGGUAAUGGGUAAAGAAGCACCGGCUAACUACGUGCCUGCAGCCGCGGUGAUACGUAGGGUGCGAGCGUUGUCCGGAUUUAUUGGGCGUAAAGGGCUCGUAGGUGGUUGAUCGCGUCGGAAGUGUAAUCUUGGGGCUUAACCCUGAGCGUGCUUUCGAUACGGGUUGACUUGAGGAAGGUAGGGGAGAAUGGAAUUCCUGGUGGAGCGGUGGAAUGCGCAGAUAUCAGGAGGAACACCAGUGGCGAAGGCGGUUCUCUGGGCCUUUCCUGACGCUGAGGAGCGAAAGCGUGGGGAGCGAACAGGCUUAGAUACCCUGGUAGUCCACGCUGUAAACGGUGGGUACUAGGUGUGGGGUCCAUUCCACGGGUUCCGUGCCGUAGCUAACGCUUUAAGUACCCCGCCUGGGGAGUACGGCAGCAAGGCUAAAACUCAAAGGAAUUGACGGGGCCCCGCACAAGCGGCGGAGCAUGCGGAUUAAUUCGAUGCAACGCGUAGAACCUUACCUGGGUUUGACAUGGAUCGGGAGUGCUCAGAGAUGGGUGUGCCUCUUUUGGGGUCGGUUCACAGGUGGUGCAUGGCUGUCGUCAGCUCGUGUCGUGAGAUGUUGGGUUAAGUCCCGCAACGAGCGCAACCCUUGUUCACUGUUGCCAGCACGUUAUGGUGGGGACUCAGUGGAGACCGCCGGGGUCAACUCGGAGGAAGGUGGGGAUGACGUCAAGUCAUCAUGCCCCUUAUGUCCAGGGCUUCACGCAUGCUACAAUGGCUGGUACAGAGAGUGGCGAGCCUGUGAGGGCGAGCGAAUCUCGGAAAGCCGGUCUCAGUUCGGAUUGGGGUCUGCAACUCGACCUCAUGAAGUCGGAGUCGCUAGUAAUCGCAGAUCAGCAACGCUGCGGUGAAUACGUUCCCGGG
rnacentral:rRNA from 1 species